rnacentral:ncRNA from 2 species
ACUGGCAGUAGAGGUGCGCUGGAUAAGAGUCGUGGCAAGUAGGUGAUUCCGUUUUAUGUGCCACAAAAGGAUUCAGCGCCGAAGCAGUGUGAAGUAUCAAAUCAACUGCUGGGGCUGUGGCCGAAUAGGCGCAGCACUGUCACAGAAAGAUGAUUGAGUACCGACUCAAUCCUGUGGAGCGCUACUUAAUUU